AACCCUCUAGUGAUCUUGGGGGGUGGGUUAUUUCAUUUUCUAAAUUGCAUGGCAACAUCAAAUGACCAAACCAAUACUAUAUCAUCACAUUCUCAUACUCUUCUUCUUUUAAUCAUAUUCUUAUCUUUGAUUCUCUUCAUCAACCUUGCAAUCCCCAUGACUCAUCAUCGGUCCACAUCUAUGGUUGCUCCCUUCAAGAGGGUUCUUCUCGAACCUUCUGUUCCAGCUUCAUCAACAAUGGAUCUGCAUCCAAAGGGUCGCACACGUUGCAGCCAUACUUCUAGAAGGAGAGAGUUUGCAAAUGAUGCUCAUGAAGUUCCUAGUGGUCCAAACCCUAUUUCCAACUAGGUGAGUUGGAGUAUCUGGUUUUACCCGUGAGUUUGAAGGAUAAGUGAUUAUAGAUCUAUAUAAUAACAUAUGGGUGAAGCUUCUCAUCGAUGGAGACUGGAGAAAAACUUAAUUGUCAUGAAUUUAGAAUAUAUCUUUGGAUCACUUUGGUACCGUUCAUUUCCUUCUUAAAUCUUUUGUCCAUAUAUUGCUCUGGUACCAUGUUUUAAGUUUUGAUUAGAGUUGUUAAGAAGAGAUACUAUUAUUCGUUAAUCGUUUACAUGUGUAUGUAGCCCACCUAUGUUUUUCCUUCACAAACUAGUAGGAGCAUAUAGAUCCUUGAUCAUUAAAUCUCUUUCUUUUUUUCUUCUCUUUCCACCAUACAAAACGGUCUCUUUUCUAAAUAUCAUUCUGAAAAUAAUAUGAAAACUAGGUUAACCCCGCGCCUUGCGCGAGAUGAAUAUUAUAUAUAAAUUACUUUGAUGUAUUAUAUGAUUUUUUACAUAUUAUGAAAUAAUAAAUGUAUAUUGAAUAAUUGAAAAUUUAGUAAAUAUUACGUAUAUAAUAAAAUGCAAAUACAUAAAUAAAUUUUAUUAAUCCAGACAAACAUUUUUUUCUAUUUUAUAUGGUACACAUACUACAAGAAAACAUAUUUUUUACGAGAACAAUAUUCCUUGUUAAUUCGUCGUAAAAUGGGUGUUACGACGAAUAAACAUCGAAAACCGUUUCGUUGUUAAACGUCCGUCGUAAUGGAGGUUUCGUCGUAAAGACGUGGUAACGUUUACGAGGAAAUUUUUCCUCGUAAAAUGGAUGGAAACAUUUCGUCGUAAACGAGACGUAAUACUUCGUUGUAAAGUACUCAUAUUAUUUCGAUGUAAACUCCAUGUAAUCUUUACGAGGAUUUUACAAUGAUGCCCAUGUAAGCUCCACGUAAACCUUACGACAAUGUUACGAGGAUUUCGUUGUAAAAUCCAUGUAAAGUUUACAACGAAUUUACAUAGUUUCUUACCAUUUAAUAUUAAAUUAAAACAAAAAUAUUAUUUAAUAUUCGAAAUUUUAAAAAUUUUAAAUAUAAAAUGAAAUAUGAAAAUCAAAACAUAUAUUUAAAAAAUAUUUAAAAGUCAUAACAUAAUAUUUAAAUUCAUAAUACAAAAGGAAAAAAUAAAAAAGCUACUACAUAUUAUCGAAGUAGUCGGUGGCGGUCACUCGGUUGAGAACGGUCUGGAUCGGCAUCUUCAGGAUUCCGUAUUGGCAUCCCAAGAGCUGCUCGCCUCUCAUUUAGUGCUCUCUGCAAAGUCCGAUUUUCCACCGCCAUCACGUCCAGCAGAUCUUCAAGAGAGUCUAAACGAUCCUGCUGCCUAUCCAUCCGAGCUCUCAUUUAAGAGUUCUCUUCAUCCCGUCUCGAAGCGUAUGACAAAGUUGCCUUAGAAACUUCGUUAACAGAACCUAUGCCCACUCUCCGUCCCUUCUCUCUAGGAGCCACCUAUAAAAACAUAUUAAUAUAGUUAAAAUUUAUUAAAUAGUUAAAUUUAUUUAAAUAAAAUUAUAAAGUUUUACCUCUUCGAAGAUCCUGUCGACCUCUUCGGUCGUCAGUUUGACGGGUAAUCCAUCGGGAGAUUGCUGGGUUAAUUGUGUCUCCCGCUCUUCAACCUGAAGAAGCCAGGUGUUUUUUUUUUGAUCAAAAAGAAGCCAAGUGUUAUUAUAUUUCGUAACUAACUCGUGAAUGUUUUAAGCACAAAAAAGAAAAAAUCUAACUCCUGAAUGCAUCUGAAAUACAAAUUUGAAUCUCGUGAAUAGUUCACAUCAAUACAGUAUGAAUUAAUUAAUUUGUAUAAUGAAACAAACUAAUGUGAUGGCACUAGUCGACAGUGUAAAACUCUUGAAUCGAGACGAGUUUUUUUUGUCGUCAUAUAAGUAAAAAGUCUAAUUUAAUUAAUUAUUAAGAUUAAAACAUAUAUAUAUAUAUAUAUAUAUACAUAUAUAUCUUUAAAUUAAACUAUAUACCAUAUAAAAUACAUAAAUAUUUUAAUUUCUAAUUUACUUUGAACAAUUUUUUUGAUUAAAGCUUUGAACAAACAUUGACAUUUAAUUUUUUAAAAUUAUAAAUUACUAAAACUAUUAAUCCCACAAUAAAAAUUUUGUUAUCAUUAAUUUAAAGUAUUUUCUAUAAAAGAUACAAAUGAUUAAAAAAAUCAUAUGAGCAAAGCAUCAUUUAAUAGAUAUUAAUAUUAAAAAUAUAUUAUGUAUAUUAAUAUCAUUUAAUUUAAUUAUAUAUCCUAUCAAAUAAAAAACUAUUAUUUGGAUUAAUAAAAUUGAUUUAUUUGUUCACACUAAUUUAAUUAUAUAUGUAAUAGUUACUAACUUAUAAUUAUUUAAUAUAUAUUUAUUAUUUCAUAUUUAUAAUAUGUACGAACAUAUAAUACAUAAAAUAAUUUAUAUAUAUAAUGUUCAUUAUGCGCAAAGGAAGUUCUUAAUCUAGUCAAAUAUUAUUCUUUGUUAGUAAAAUUUAAUCGAAUAUAUCUUUGUUGUUAAAAAUCUAGUCGAAUAUUAUAUGUGUUUUUAAUGAUAGAACGGAGAAAAAUAUCGCUGGAUCUCUUCUCCCAUACACCAACGCCACCGCCCACCGGCCUUAUUUGCGUGUAUACUCUUUUUCUUCUUGUGAUAUGUUUUUAUAUAGGUAAUAUAUAAAAUACACUUUUACCAAAAAAAAAAAAUGCGCUAUGCAUAGCUAUGCAGUAUGAACGUCGUUAUUCGAAACAUCAUGCAAGAAGUCGUUGGCUAAUUAGUAAUUAGAACAUGGAGAGAUUCUCAUGAAAAACCUAAAGAAUACUUUAUCAAAUAUCUAUCUCAUUUAAUUAUUAGAAAGCUCAUUUAGAAGUAUUUUAGUUAACAUAUUUAAGUGGAUCUCAACAUUUUAAAUUUUCAUUCAGUACAAAAUAUAUAUAUUUUUGUCUUUCUUUAAUUCGUCGUCGUCUAACAAAAAUCUUUCACUACAUGGUGUACCAAAUUAUAUUAGGUGUUACUUCUAUAUUACAAAUUUGCCAUUUAAACCAAUAAUAAUUUGAAUCCAAAUUUUGGAGGUUUUUCUCCAAAAUUUGUUUUCUCGUUUUCUUCUAAUUGUGUCAAUUCGUUAGAUCAUACCUGUCUAUUAGUCUAUACACAAUUGUAUCAUGUCUUGUAUCUAUAUCGUGAUGCUGCUGUACCAAAGUAAUAUCGGGGAUUACGUUCAAAUUUUCAUAAUCUUCUUAAAAAUUUAAUUAAGCCAAAAGUUCAAUUUUUCCUAUAUCGCUUUCCUCACUUCAGUAUGUUGAUUUCAUUGACAUUAUAUUAUUGUACAGAAGACAUAUUCGUAGUUUGAAAAUAAAUAUCAUAUUAGGUUAUAUAUAUAAUUUGACUUCCACACAAAAUAAGGAAAUGAUUAAUGCAUAAUUUAUGAAAAAUGCUUAAUUUAAUCAUAAAUAUGCAUUUUCUCGUUGACUAGUACUGAUACACGUUGGUAUACAAUUGGUGUUUGGUCAAGUUAGUCAAAAAAUAUUUUUUUUUUUAAAAUAGACAGUAAAAAGAAAUGGAAAAACUAGAAGAAAAGUAAGCAAGAACCUUGCUUCCUUCCACCUCUUCUCCUUUCAUAUAUGUUAUCACCUUUUCCUUUUGCCUAAGCUUUUAAGAUUCGUUGCUAAUCGCUUAAUGACUCAAUUACCAUUACACGCUUUGUCCUCUUUCAUGUGAUUUCUCGUUCUGCAGUGGCAUGCCUACCGACAAUUUUAAGUCUUUUCAGGGGCUUAAUAGUAAUAUAUGCGAGAGAGAAAUCAGAAUAACUCUGUCUCGCGUUAUUCAAACCCUAGUUUGAAUUCACCUUAUAUGUCCAUUCUUUCCUGCGCUGCUUGCACAAAGGGCGAUUUGGUAAUCUCAUACCUCGUGAUCGUUCUGCAUACAACUUUGGGUUUUACUUUAUUAAUAAAAUGCAAGAGUGUGUGAAAAUAUGAAAAUCUCUCUCUGAUUUUCCUCUUUCUCAGUUUUCUUCAUCUUCUUUAUUUUCUUCUCUGCUUUCUGCUUUCUCGCGUCUCUGACCAGCUCCCGAGUUGUUCGUUUCUGGUUAAUGGAUAUUGAACCCUCUAGUGAUCUUGGGGGGUGGGUUAUUUCAUUUUCUAAAUUGCAUGGCAACAUCAAAUGACCAAACCAAUACUAUAUCAUCACAUUCUCAUACUCUUCUUCUUUUAAUCAUAUUCUUAUCUUUGAUUCUCUUCAUCAACCUUGCAAUCCCCAUGACUCAUCAUCGGUCCACAUCUAUGGUUGCUCCCUUCAAGAGGGUUCUUCUCGAACCUUCUGUUCCAGCUUCAUCAACAAUGGAUCUGCAUCCAAAGGGUCGCACACGUUGCAGCCAUACUUCUAGAAGGAGAGAGUUUGCAAAUGAUGCUCAUGAAGUUCCUAGUGGUCCAAACCCUAUUUCCAACUAGGUGAGUUGG
rnacentral:lncRNA from 1 species